CUCGGAAGAAACAGACGACGUCGCCAAUACCAUAUUGACUGUUUUAUCUUACGUAUUCAAGAAGCUCUAGAAACAAGAAGAUAUUCAAUGACCGAGUUUUGAGAAAUAGCUGCAGUGAGACGGCUUGAAGUCCAAUUUCAAAUGGACAUAGCAGUUAUGAGACAACAAUAUUUUGGUGACGAUUUGACAAUAGAGGAAGAGAUAUUAGUAAAUUAUCUGAGAAACUACGAAGUAGCAGCAG